CGGCAGGCGGCGCGCUCCUGCUAAGUCACGAGGGCAUGUAUGCUUACCAGAGAGAAGGAGAGACAAAAGAGGAAAAGCACCUGCUACUGGAGCAUGGCUACAUUAUAAUCCCCUCUCCUCCAUUUCUCCAAACUGUCAGGACUUGAGGCUUCAGCACUGUCAGUCUGAGAGUCAUUGAAGAAGAUGGGUACUUCGAGUAAAAAUUGCGAACACAAAUCCACUCUGUAUUCCCCUAGACAUGUGAUGCAGAGCAUAAAUAUUUCAUAGACAAAGACAGCGAGACACAGAUUUUAAUUCUGAAAAGUAAUUAUAAGAUAAACUACAGGAGAUGCAGCAUAUGAUUUGCCUCAUGACACAUUUUUGAGAUCUUGGGCACAGACACACACACGGCA